CACACAACAAUCUUCAUCAACAUGACCUUCAUCAUCAUCUUCAUCUGGACUCUCACAGCGUUUGCUCAAGAGUGUAGAGGACAGAUCACCGUCACUCAGAGUCCCUCAAUAACAGCAGAACAACCAGGAGGAACUGUGAAUAUCAAAUGUAAAACCAGCAGAGAUGUGUACACGGAUCGUCAUGGAGGUCGUUUAUCCUGGUACUUACAGAAACCUGGAGAAGCUCCUAAACUCCUGAUUUAUUUAACAAACCGCCUCCAGUCAGGAACCCCAUCUAGAUUCAGUGGCAGUGGAUCUAACAGUGAUUUCACUCUGAGCAUCAGUGGAGUCCAGACUGAAGAUGCUGGACAUUAUUACUGUCAGAGUUUCCAUUGCAGAACAGAUUCUGGUAAUAGUUGUGUGGGUGAUCUAGUGUUCACACAGUGAUAAAGAGUCGUACAAAAACCUCCGUCACUCAG